rnacentral:rRNA from 1 species
AUAAUGACUAAUUAAGGUAGUACUACAAUAAAAAACCCAUAUAUAAUGGCGGUCACAUUUAAUUAGAGGAACUCGCUUUAUAAUCGUCAACACCCGAUAAAUUUCACCUACUUCAAAAGCUUAUAUACCGCCGUUACAGAAUUUAUCAAACAAUAAAAUUCAAAAAAGAACCACUAAAAAAUCAGGUCAAGGUGUAGCCAACAAGUCAGGACAAAGUAAGUUACAUUAAGAAAUACUUAAGGACAACACUCUAAAUGAAAAUUAGAAAAAGAAUCCAACUACAAGCCUAAAUUAAAAAUUUAAGCAUAAUAACAAAUAUGAGACGC